GAGGGCAUAGCUGAGUGGAAGAGCAUCUGUUCUAGAUGCAGAAGAAGAACCCAAGUUCAAUCCCUGGCAUCUCCA